rnacentral:misc_RNA from 1 species
AAUACGAAAAAAAUUAUUUGGUGGGGGGGUGGGUUUUUUUCUCCCCCCCCGUUUGGUUGGCGGGCGUGCGGGACCCCUCCCUUUUUUAAAAAAAAAAAGGGGGGGGGGGUGGUUUUUUUAGGGGGGGGGGGAGGGACACACCCCCGGCGGGGAAGAAUUUAUUCCCAAAAAAGGAGAGAGUGUUUCCGCGGUUUUUUUUUUCACCCGCGUGUUUUUUUUAAACCGGCGCGCUCUACAAAGGUGGAAACCCGGGGAAGGGAACCCCCCCCGCCCCGGAAAUGGAAAUCCUUUUGGGGGGGCCCCCCCCCGGGCCCCCGGGGGAAGGGGGGCCCCCCCGGGGGGGCCGGGCCCCCCCCAAAAAACCAACCCCCAAAGGGCCGGGAAGGCUUUUAAGGGGUUGAAAAAAUUGGAACCGGCCUUUCGAAAAACCCAAGGGCCAUUGGCCCCCCCGGCCCGGGAAAAAAUAAAGCCCCGGCCGGGGGCCCGGCCCAAAAAUUGUGGUCGUUUUACCAAAAAAGAAUUUUUGGGAAUUGGAAUUUUUCCAAAGCUGAAAAUUUUUCCUUGGACAAAAUUUUCCCAACCAAUUUUUAAUCUUUUAAUUCCCGGCCAUUUUUUUCCGGCCUGGCCGGUUUUCCUUUUUCCAAUUUCCGAAUGCCCCCCAAGGAAAAACCCCAAAAAGAAGGAAUUCCCCCGGUUUUGGUUUGAAAAAAAGGUUUUUUUUGGAAUUUUAAAUUUUUUGGUUCCUUUUUUUCCCAGGGGCCCUUCCAAAGAAGGAAUUAAACCUGGGAAAAAAAAAAAAAAUUUAAAAGGAAGGUUUUUUUUGGAAAACCCCUUUCCCCGGGGCCGGGGGCCGGUUGGCCCCCCCGGCUCCGGGAAAAGGCCAAAAACCGGAACCAAUGUACGGGUUUUUAUUGGUUUUCCCAACCAAGGGGGGGUUUGGGGAAAGAUUUCUCUGUCCAAAACGCUUUCCAAAGCUAAUAUAUCGGAGUUACACUUCUUUCGAAAACCCCCUGGCCUGGGAACGGGGGGAAUCCCAAUUUAACCUUGGAAUGCUUUGGAAAUUUUUUUUUUCUCCCCUUAAAAGUUAAUACAAGGGGUCUCCCCCCCACCAGGAGACCACAAAAAAAAAAGGGGGUUGAGGGGGAGAACCCCCGGAAGACAAAAGGUUUUCUUUUUCCGGUUUUUUGGCCUCAGGAACCAAGACCCGCCGAUAACUGGGGCCCGGCCGGGAGGGCCCGGCCCCCCAAAACACCAAGCGAAGUAGGGGAAAGACGCUGAACAGCAUGCCGCGGAAUACCGCGGCGCAAUUGGUUCAAAGAUUGAUGAUUCAAUGAAUUCUGCAAUUCACCAUUACUUAUCGCAUUUCGCUGCUUCUUUCAUCGAUGCCAGAACCAAGAGAUCCGUUGUUGAAAGUUUUGAUUAUUUGUCUUUCAGGCUCAGAGAUACUGGAAAAAAUAAGAGUUUUGAACCUCCGGCGGGCGUGCCCGCCGAAGCAACGACAGAGGUUAUGUUCACAGGGGUUGGAGUUUUUCAACUCAGUAAUCAUACUUCGAACCUGCGGAGGGAUCAUUACUGAGUUGAAAAACUCCAACCCCUGUGAACAUAACCUCUGUCGUUGCUUCGGCGGGCACGCCCGCCGGAGGUUCAAAACUCUUAUUUUUUCCAGUAUCUCUGAGCCUGAAAGACAAAUAAUCAAAACUUUCAACAACGGAUCUCUUGGUUCUGGCAUCGAUGAAGAACGCAGCGAAAUGCGAUAAGUAAUGUGAAUUGCAGAAUUCAGUGAAUCAUCGAAUCUUUGAACGCACAUUGCGCCCGCCGGUAUUCCGGCGGGCAUGCCUGUUCGAGCGUCAUUUCAACCCUCAAGCCUCGGCUUGGUGUUGGGGCGCCCGGGCCCUCCGCGGCCCGGGGCCCCCUAGUUCAUUCGGCGGGCUCGUCGGUACACUGAGCGCGGUAAAACGCGGUAAAACGCGAACCUCGUUCGGAUCGUCCCGGCGUGCUCCCGGCCGCGUAACCCACCCGAUUUGUAUGCAGUCACGCGGAGCCGCGCGGUGUCUGAUCGGGCU